rnacentral:lncRNA from 1 species
UGAUCUCGAACUUCUUGGCUCAAGUGAUCUGCCUGCCUUCCAAAGUGCUGGGAUUACAGGCAUGAGCCACCAAGCGCAGCCAUGAUUUAUUAGAUCACUUCUAAAAGCCCUCUCUCCAUCUCCAAGCCAGCAAGUGCUUCUUUGCACCCCAGCUCUAAAACAAAGCCCUUGGGGACACAAUCAAAGACAGUAGUUGCCAAGAGGAAUAGGGAGCAUGGAAAGAAGGUGCUGGAUGUGCAUACAGCUAACCUGGUAACUCCAAACUGGAUGAGCUCAUUCCUUGAGACUGGAAUUACAAAAUUGGAACAGCUCACUAAUAAUUGAAGAUGAUUUGGGAAAACCAUUAUCCUUCCUCAGGUUUUACAAGAACCUGUGACAAAUGAAAAUGGUUUUCCUAGAUAAGAACGAAACUGUGUUGGGUGGCUAACAAGAUUGAAACUCAUCUGACUUUGAGAAAUAAAUCAAUUUGGUUUGUUUAUUUACAAUCGUUAUUUUUCCUUUUACCAAUACCUAAGUUAUUUCACUGUAAAACUUUCAUAGAAGAAUUUCAGGAAAGGCUUGUAUUUACGUGUUAUAGAUGAGGUACACCACAGUGAUUUAGAUCAGCAGUCCCCAACCGUUUUGGCACCAGGGACCAGUUUCAUGGAAGACAAUUUUUCCACAGAUCAGGGGUGGGCAGAGUUUGGGGGAAUGGUUUCUGGAUGAUUCAAGCGGAUUACAUUUGUUGUGCACCAUAUUUCUAUUAUUAUUAUUGCAUUGUAAUAUGUAACAAAAUAGUUAUACAACUCCAUAAUGUAGACUCAGUGGGAGCCCUGAGCUUGUUUUCCUGCAACUAGACGGUCCCAUCUGAGGGUGAUGGGAGACAGUGACACCAAAGUGUGCUGCUUAUGUCCAGUCUACUUCGUAAUCUCAUUUUGAUUGCUGUCACUGCAGAAAACCCUGUAACAUUCUCAAAAUUCUAUUCUCUCUAGGGUAAAAUUAAACUGCGGGACAUAGCGCAGAAGACUUGUCACAAUUUAGGACCAACCUACCAAGACUUCUUGAUCUCUUUCCACUUCUUGCCCCUCACUGUGUUUGAUUUCUGCCUUCCAGUCUGAACUUCUCACUAUAUUCCAGAAAAGGCCUGUUAAAGAGAUCUGGUAGUCAAAAGCAACCUCUUUUUUGCUUGUGCUCUCUGUUAUACAUAAGAAACCAGUCCUGCUGCAGCUCCAUAUUUGCAUUACUAAUUUAAUCAGUUAGCGGGACACAUGCUCUUUAUAACCCAAAAAAUUGAAGCAUGAAAUUUGGGAGUCAUACCCAUCACCCAAAUGUGGCAUAACAAUGUUCUUCUUCCCCGCAAAGCAGUGUCCUUCCCCAAAGAAAUUCUGGGGAUUGGCAUUUUCUUCAUCCACUCCUUUCAUUAUUUCCUUUACCUAUUUCUCUGAGUCUAUUAGCAUCCUUGGAGGGGGGAAUGUAUCUUAUUUAUUGUUAUAUCUCCCAGGCUCACACAUCACUCAAUAAAGGUUUGUUGAAUGAAACAAUAAAUGGAUGCAAGACUAAAUGAACAAAGAAAAGCCACGGGGAAGAUAACAAUGUUAUGUCAUAAUUCAGGAUCAUCUUUUUCUGUUUUUUCCCCUCCAGCUUUAUUGAGGUAUAAUUGACAAAUAAAAAUUAUAUAUAUUCAAGGUGUCCAACAAGAUGUUUUGAUAUACAUAUACAUUGUGAAAUGAUUACCACAAUCAAACUAAUUAGCAUGUCCAUUACCUCACAUAAUUACCUUUUUUAUGUGUGCUGAGAAUACUUAAGAUUUGCUUUCUUAGCAAAUUUUAAGUAUACAAUACAUUAUGAUUAACUAUAGUCAUCAUACUUUACAGUAAGUCUCCAGAACUUACUUCAUCUGCAGGUUUGUACUCUGACCAACAUCAUCUUAUUUCACUCCCCACCCCACUUUCAGCACUGGUAACCACAUUUCUAUUCUAAGCCUUCUGGUGAAAUUUCUUUCUUAUUUCACUCCCAGUGAGUAACACAAGAGAAAAAUAAACAACAAAAGCCAGUCAAUAAUUAUAAAGUGAAUCUUACCAGUAUAGAGUUAUAAGCCUUGUUUUUACUUCACUGAUAAUGUUGUCGUGAACACUGUUUGAAUAAUGAAGACUAAAGGAAUGAUGGCAUGCACUGUGAGUUCUUGAUGUGGUUGAAGCAAAAUUCCCAACAAACAGACAUUUUGCUAUUUCAUUAGUGUUUAUGGCUGAUAAAUAC